rnacentral:rRNA from 1 species
CCCUUCCAAAAAAUUUCCCCCACCCCUUCUCCGAACCCUGCCUAUCCCUCCCUAAUCCUCAACUUCACCGAGACGGCGGCUCCCGCCGGUGCGCCGGGCGCGACAUACCGGCAACAGGCGGCAGCAGGUGACGCGACUCCUCCACUAACCACCUCAACCUCCCCCGUGUUGCAGUCGCCGCCGACCUCCACCAGAUCCGGUACGGUGCUCUUCUACCUCUGCCAUCGGAUUGGACAAGGGCGCGGGGCUCCGGCUGGCCCUCGGUUCGCCCACUCCACUGCAACACUUUAACGCACACCCUUGCAACCAAGCUCAUUUUUCUUUUAUUAACGACCCCCCUCAGUGGCUUGAGCACACCCUGCUGCAUUAAGGAUUAGCAUUAACAAUCGUUUACAACCGGGCAGCUAAAUGGAGGCCACCGUGCUAAGUCUGGGCAAGUCUGUGGUGAUUGGGGCGCUCAGCUACGCCAGGUCUGCCGGUGCUGGGGAGAUAGCCUCGCGUCUUGGAGUUCAGCGUGAUCAGGCCUUCAUCGCCGAUGAGCUGGAGAUGAUGCAAGCGUUCCUGAUGGCCGCACACGACGGGCCAGAGGACAAGGACAGGGUGGUCAGGGUCUGGGUGAAGCAGGUCCGCGACGUGGCCUAUGAGGUUGAGGACUCCCUCCAGGAAUUCGCUGUCCGGUUACAGAAGCAGUCUUGGUGGCGUGUUGCCAGCACCCUUCUGGACCGGCGCCUCGUUGGCAAGCAGAUGAGGGAGCUUAGAGCCAAGGUCGAGGAUGUCAGCCGCAGGAACAAGCGCUACCGCCUCAUCAAUGGCGACGGCGCUGGUUCCAAGCCUAGCAAUAUCUCCACAACCACAAGUGAGUUCCCCGUUGCUGGCGUAACUAUGUCUGGCACCGAGGAAGCUAGGCGGCAGUUGGACAAAGCAAAAAUGGAUCUCAUUCGCCUGAUCGGUUCCAAGAAGGAUGAGGACCUUAGAGUAAUCGCAUUAUGGAGAGCAAAUGGUGAUCUUGGGGAGACCUCUGUCAUAAAAAAGGCAUACGAAGAUCUGAAGGUGGACAAGAAGUUCGAAUGCUUUGCUUGGAUCAAGUUGGUGCGUCCUGUCAAUCCAACAGAGUACUUGCGGAGUAUUUUGAGGCAGUUUUAUGUAAAUUCACUACAAGGGACAACUAUGGAGGCCCAAGAUCUGAGAUGGAUGGAGAUGACAAAGGAAAAUGAUUUGGUUGGUGAGUUCAAGAGGUUUGUGAGUGCGAAGAGUUACCUUAUUGUCCUCAAGGACAUACAUACUAUUGAAGAAUGGGACUGCAUUAAAGUUUUCUUCUUAAAUUACAAGAAAGGAAGUCGAAUCAUAGUAUCCACAGAGCAAGUUGAGGUUGCUAGCUUAUGCGUAAGACAACAGACUGCAGCAGCUGACCACAAGCAGUUGCAUAUGGACCAGGCUCUCUAUGCUUUCUACGAUAAGGGUUUGCAAGAUGGAGCUGAUGCAACUGAGGCAGGGUCUAGCUUUAACAUAGCUAGUAUGACUAGUAGCAACUCUGCAGACAACAAGAGCCUCACUCACACAGAGACGACGAUAGCUGAUUUUAAGGAAUAUGAGCAGGUCGGUCGAGAGAAAGAAAAAUCUGAUAUUAUCAAACUAAUUUCAAAUGAAGUUAACCAACAGCUUGAUGUGGUUUCUGUGUGGGGAAUGGGCGGUCUUGGGAAAACAACACUAGUUAGAGAUGUGUAUCAAAGCCAACACCUCAGCGUCAAAUUCAGGUACCGCGCUUGUGUAACGAUUAUGCAUCCCUUCAAUUGUGAUGAGCUCAUCAAGAGCUUAGCUCGACAAUUAGAUGCAGAGGAUUAUGAAAAUAAAGAGGAAACAGGCUUAGCGGGUGGCAGAACAAAACCUAGGCUCCAACGGUCACUAACAGACAUUUUAGAAGGAAAGAAGUACUUGAUUGUUCUUGAUGAUCUAUCAUCUGCCACAGAAUGGGACUCUAUAAUACAGCAUUUACCUGCAAGGGAAACAGCAAGUCGUAUCAUAGUCACCACAAGGUCAGAAAAUAUUGCUAGGCACUGUUCAAAGAAACAAGGGAACAUAUACAAGCUUCAAAUUCUGGGGUAUGAAGAUGGACUUAACCUCUUCAUGGAAAAGGUAUUUCACAAGAUUACAUAUCUGAAUGAUGAAUAUCCGGAGUUGGUUGAACAAGCAAAUCUGAUCCUAAAGAAGUGUGAUGGACUUCCCCUUGCAAUUGUCACCAUAGGUGGCUUCUUGGCAAACCAACCUAAAACCGCUUUGGAGUGGAUGAAAUUGAAUGACCAUAUUAGUGCCGAGUUGGAAAUGAGUCCUGAGCUUGAAAGGAUAGCAGCAGUCCUUAACAAAAGUUAUGAUGGUUUACCUUACCAUCUCAAGUCAUGUAUGCUGUAUUUCUCCAUCUUCCCCCAAGAUGACAAGGUUAGCCGGAGACGCCUGGUGCGUCGGUGGAUUGCAGAGGGCUACUCAAGGGAGUUGCGUGGCAAGUCCGCGGAGGAAAUAGCGGAGAGCUAUUUCAUGGAGCUCAUAAGCAGGAGCAUGAUCCUACCAUCUCAAGAAUCCAUUCAUAGUAGAAGAGGAAUUGACUCCUGCCAAGUCCAUGAUCUCAUUCGUGAAAUUGGUAUCUCAAAAUCAGCAGAGGAUAAUCUUGUUUUCACAUUGGAGGAAGGCUGUGGAUUAAACAACCGGGGAACAAUACGCCAUCUUGCCAUAAGUAGUAGCUGGAAGGGAGAUCAGUGUGACUUCAAGAGCAUAGUGGACAUGUCUUGUAUAAGAUCAUUAACGGUGUUUGGGAAGUGGAGGCCAUUUUUCAUGUCUGAGAAGAUGAGGUUGCUGCGAGUGCUGGACCUAGAGGGGACAUCAGGUCUUGUUGAUCAUCAUCUUACGGGCAUUGGGAAGCUUCUUCAUCUAAGGUACCUUUCUUUAAGAGGAUGUGAUGAUAUUUAUCACUUGCCAGACUCAUUGGGUAACCUGAGGCAGCUGCAAACACUAGACGUUACAUAUACAAGCAUAAUGGAACUACCGAGGACCAUUAUCAAGCUUAGCAAGCUAGAGCAUAUUCGUGCUGGGAGCAUUGGAAGUAACGAUGGUGGUACACGUGAAACAUUUGCAGACACCCUAUGCACUUUGGCUUUGUCAUCAAUGGCAUUCUGUGUGGGAUGUUGCGCACCUCAGGUUCUGAAAGAGGUAAUGGAUAUUGAUGGUGACCCUAACAGGCGUGAUGUAUGCACUGCGUGUUGCUGCAAUAAAUUACCUUCUGCCGCGACGCGCCAAAGUCCAAAUGGUGUUGAAGUGCCAAGGGGGACUCGCAGACUGAAAGCCCUGAACACAAUGGGUGUUGUGAAUGUCUCAGGAUCAAGGGGUAAGGCUGUUCUAAACGACCUAAAAAGUCUCACCAGGCUGCGGAAGUUAAGAGUGACUGGCAUCAAUAAGAAAAACUCUCAAGAGUUGUGUUCAGCCCUUUCAAAGCUCAGUUGUCUGGAAUCCUUGUUGGUGCGGUCAGAGGGAAACCCUGGUUUAUCUGGCUGCUUGGAUGCCCUACUGUCCCCUCCGAAAAAACUACAGAGCCUCAAGCUGUAUGGUAACCUGGUGAAAUUGCCCGACUGGAUGGAGGCGCUCCGGAAUCUCGUGAAGAUGGAGCUGCGGAGCAGCAGGAUAUUGGAGGUUGAUGCGGCCAUGCAGGUCCUCGGCAAUUUACCAAACCUGGCCAUACUGCGUCUGCUGAGGCACUCAUUCACUGGUGAAGAGCUUCGUUUCAGUCUCAAUCGGGACGCGGCAUUCCCGAGUCUGACGGUGCUGGAGCUCAGCCUCCUAGACAAGCUCGAAUCGGUGGAGUUCCAAGGAGGGGCAGCCCCAAAGAUUGAGCUGCUGCAGUUUCGUGGCUGGCGUUACAAAGCCAACACGGUGUUGUUUGCAGGGCUUCCUUCUCUCCCGAGCCUCAAGGAAGUUUUGCUCAAGGGUCGCUAUGAGGAUGGCUUCGUGGAUGACUUGCGGGCCCGGCUUGCGGGUAAUCCAAACAGACCUGUUUUGAAGCUCAACUGAAUUGCUUCAGACUGCGUAUUCCAGAUUCGAUCGAUAAAACCUACACUAGUAGUAUACAUAUAUCUGUGAACGUCAAAAGCUUCAGUGAUGAUUUAUACGUGUACACGUAAUUGGUCAUAGUAGUAUAUACAUAAGCUGUUUGGUUUUUAUCUCUACUGCAAGAAAAACUCGUACUCUCUCCGAUCCAUAUUACUUGUCUUAGAUUUGUCUGGAUACGGAAGUCAUCAUUGAGAAGAAUCCAGUCUGGCCAUUAUGCUCCAGUUUAUGUGUCUGUUGGAUCGAAAUUAAAGCUCCAUACAUAUAUAUGCUGGGUUAUAGAUUGGGGUCGAUUUAAU